rnacentral:rRNA from 1 species
AUACAUAGGGGGCAAGCGUUAUCCGGAAUUAUUGGGCAUAAAGGGUGCGUAGGCGGCAAGUUAAGUUUAAGGUAUAAGCUCAUGGCUCAACCAUGGGAGGCUUUAGAAACUGGCUAGCUAGAGUGCAGUAGAGGCAAGUGGAAUUCCAUGUGUAGCGGUAAAAUGCGUAAAUAUAUGGAGGAACACCAGUAGCGAAGGCGGCUUGCUGGGCUGUAACUGACGCUGAGGCACGAAAGCGUGGGGAGCAAACAGGAUUAGAUACCCUGGUAGUCCACGCCGUAAACGAUGAGUACUAAGUGUCGGGGGAAUCUCGGUGCUGAAGCAAAUGUAAUAAGUACUCCGCCUGAGUAGUACGUGCGCAAGCAUGAA